rnacentral:lncRNA from 1 species
GUUCUGAUUGUCGUUUUACUUAUUCUAUAAUUCUUUUUAGAAUAAACCUAUAUAGGAGAAUUCGAACACACGAAAAGACUAAGUGCAUGAGUUUUACUUAUUAGGAUCAUACAAUUAAUUAUAUUCCAAACCACUAAAAUACUAAGAAAUAUUACGAUGAUUUCUCCCAAUAACAAUACUCCUUCAUCAAUUGAUAACAAUAGGGUGCAACUCUGUACUCUGAAAAUACUGCUCAAAAUACAAUAAUUUCCAUCCAACAUCAAGAAUAACAGAUUUCACUCCAACCAAACUAAAUUCACAUAAUUUCUGUAAUUACAGACUUCCUCUGUCGAAACACACACAGCUUUCAAUAAACAACAGUCAUAAUCUUCUGAUAACUCCUCAUAUAAUUCAAUCACUCAGUGCUCCAAUUACAUAAUCAAUAACUCAUAAAUCAAUCUCUGAUUUAUUCCACAGACUCACUUCUCAGUAUUCAGAAACUAUCCAUUACUCUUUAAUAACAAAGAAACAAAGAAACAAAAAGGUAGCACCAAGCUUACCCCACCUCAUAACUAUCAUAGUCUGGCACUUCAACAAACUUCUACAACUCCUAUAUAAUUGCUCUUGAUUUCUAGAUUCUAACCGUAAUUCCUUAAUUAAUUACUUUUAAUAACUAAAUCAAUCAUCUGUCCUCUGGAAUGACUAUUCUAUGGACUAUUAGUCUAUUUUAUUAAUAUUUUAUAAAAAUGAAUUAAUAUCUAUUCUACAUAAUCCCACUCCUAACUGUACAGCAUCCUCACAAACACAUAAUUGAUUCCUAUCUAAAAACUACUUAAUAAAAUUCUACAAAGUUACUAUCCUCUUUGGUCCAUCCAAUUAAUUAUUUGCUAUAUUAUCGAAUGUAAGUUCCAUCGAUUCUGGUUCCAGUUACAAAUCUUCUUCCUCCUCCACUCCUUCCAUCAACUCUUUUUUCAACUAGUUUGAUAGAUCUUCAUUAUACUCUUUCAAUUCACUGACCUAAGCUUUCAGCUUCAAGAUCUCGGCAUCUCGAAGUUCCAAUUGAUGCUAUUGCUGACUCAUCUAUUCUAGAACAUCUUCAAUCAACACUUGUGACCGGCUCCUCAUUGUUAACUCUUAAUUAGAACUACUACUCUAGAAUACACAAGAAACACAAGAAAUAGCAAUCUCAGAAAAACAACCCAAAAUAAUACCACAAAAUGACUUUAACUCGUGCCCC